CACCCAUUGACCAAGUUUUUCAUAAGGUCUUGGAGGAUAGGAAUUAUGCAGCUCCAGUUUUCAUCCCCCAGCGUCAGGUCAGGGCCAAGUCAUCGCAGAUGGUGAACCAAUAACGAUCCGACGGACCGCUCAAGUCGCACGCUCCACCUGUCUUUCCUGCAUUAGCGCAGGUUAGCAGCGCUAAGUCACCAACCGAGUUUCGAUGUUGAGAGUCCGACAUGUGAAAUGCCUUCACCACCCUCAACAAUCAAGCGCGUCAUAGAAAUGAGAUGGCAUGGAAAUCGAAUGUUCUAGGGCUGGGUAAAAGCCAGCACGAUUUUCUGGAUUAUUCCGUUGCCAUGUUUCAAACGGGUAGUUCCGAAUUCACGGGUCGUACGGGAGCUAUCCAAGGUUGUUGUUAUAUGGGCAGUAACAUUACUUGGUAGCUGUUUCCUAUGUCCUACAGUCCUUGUGUGCAAUCUCUUUCUCUUUAUAUCUCUAAUUGGCAUCUUAUGUGGUCCCGGGUGCAAGUAUACAGUCAAAGUCGGGUGGCAUGGCUACGAUCCUUCCUGGGAGCACCAACCUACGUCACUCUGUCCC
rnacentral:sRNA from 1 species